UACGUAGGGGACAAGCGUUAUCCGGAAUCACUGGGCGUAAAGGGUGCGUAGGCGGUUUAACAAGUCAGAAGUGAAAGGCAUUGGCUCAACCAAUGUAAGCUUUUGAAACUGUUAGACUUGAGUGCAGGAGAGGAAAGUGGAAUUCCUAGUGUAGCGGUGAAAUGCGUAGAUAUUAGGAGGAACACCAGUGGCGAAGGCGACUUUCUGGACUGUAACUGACGCUGAGGCACGAAAGCGUGGGGAGCGAACA
rnacentral:rRNA from 1 species